GACCUGGUGGCGAAUGGUACGCACUCGCACUCUAUGAACGAUGGGACAGUAUCAUCGCGGGCGGUCCUGGUUCGAAUCCAGGCUAGGUCG